CCUACGGGAGGCAGCAGUGAGGAAUAUUGCACGAUGGGCGCAAGCCUGAUGCAGCAACGCCGCGUGAGGGACGAAGGCCUUCGGGUCGUAAACCUCUUUUCUGGGGAAAGAGCAAGGACGGUACCUCAGGAAUAAGUCUCGGCUAACUACGUGCCAGCAGCCGCGGUAA
rnacentral:rRNA from 1 species